UGUGUGGAGCCCCUGCUGUGGGAGAGGAAGGGAAGUGGCCAGGGCCAGAGCUGGGGCUAGGGCCAGGACCUCUCUGAGGGACUUUGGCCUAUGGGUGGCCAUGCUGGGGCAGGGCAGGGGCAAUAAGGAACCAUGCAGUCUCCAAAUCAGUGAGAAAAUGACUGGGGUGAUCUGAAGAAGCCACGCUGCGCCUCUUUCAGGUAGAACAGCCAGACGCUGAGAUGCUGAAGAAGCCAGACGCUGAGAUGCUGAAGAAGCAGAGCUGCUCGGGCUCUUCCUGCAGGACCCAGUGCUUCCCGCCUGCGCCUAGCACCAUCUAGCGAGCCCGAGGGGAAGCUCCCGGCCCGCCGGCCUCCGACCCCUCAUGGGUCUACCUUCACUGUCGGGAUGAAGCUGGUAAAAGGAGAGCACUAAGAAUAACCUCUCAGUCCUCUUCAGCCCUCAGAAACAUUUGGGGAGCUCUGCCACUUCCCCUGAAGCUUGAGUUUAGCAGGAAGACCGGUGAAGGGCUUUUCUUGUCAAUCAUACACUUUUAUCCAGGAUAAGGAGCAGGGCAUACGUGUUAUGACAGCGAUGUGGCUAUCAAGAUGUUACUUGGAUGUUGCAAAAAAAAUUUCUUAACUCUACAUGAGCUAGCUCGACUGGUUCUCCUUUCAUUAAUGCUAAUAAGAGUAAAAAUUAAAAAUUAAUUAGAGUAAAAAUUUUUAAUCUGUUAUUAUAACCUAUUUUUAGAAAUUAAUGUGUAUUCUUCUCACCAGUCAAAAUGAAAAGUACGUUGUAAGAUACUUUGAUUAUCUAGCCUUUUUCUGGGAAACAUGACUUUGUUUGUCUCUUAGACAGUGGUUACAAAGAGCAGUCAGAAAAUACUAUAUCAUUAUUGUAAUAGUUGUCACCACAAUUACAAUACACUUCAAACUACAGCAGUUUAUGAAGUUAGGUACAUUUCUCUGGGUUACAUACAGAUGUAGAAAAAAGCUUCAUAUUCAGUCAGUUUCAGAUCAGAAAACAACUUUCAAAUCUUUCAGCUCUUAACUCUGGUCUUCUAAUAAUCUUCUAAUAAAAGUCAGAGUUAAGAAGAGGAAGGGUAGAAAUCGGUAGAUUGGUGCAAAGACAAUGCAAUAUUUGUUUCAUGAGUUCCAUUAACUGGAGGCUAUUCAGAGGAGGGUUAUUUGUGAUCUUAGGGGUCUUACUACAAUUCUAUGUUGAUUUCUGCUGAUAUCCUUGUUGGGAACAUAUUUCCAUCUUGUUCUGUGUUCUAUUUCCUUCCGUUCUCUUUGCAACAUUCUGUAAGCAGUAUUAAUUAUGGAGACCUGAGGAUCACCUGGAU